GACUCUGGCCGCGGCGAUUCAAUAUAUCCGGAAGCAACUGUCAUGGCUGCUGUCAGUGAGGGCCCGUAAUGGAGAUCGAGUCAAGGGUUGCCCAGGGACACUUAAGAGCCUUCGGCUUCAAGGAGGCCUCUCAAAGGACAAAGGAUGAGACUGCCUGGCGGCAGAGUGCCCCCCACAAUCGUAGGAACUGUGUCGCCGCGCUUCCCGUUAACUUGCCGCUAAGUUUUUCUAGAAAAGUCGCCCUUCUUGCCAGGGGUGUCCUAUAGACUUUGUCAUGGAGUGAAACAGAAACAAAUAAUGGCCUGUCCAGAAGACAGCCAAAUACAUCCUUCAAACAGACUUCACUGCAGGAGACAGAGUGGAUUCAUCCUGUAUUCUCCAUGUAGACUUCCAUCUUCAUGAGUACUCCAAGAAGAUGGUUCAGUUGACUAUUGCAAAGGAUGAAAGCAUGGGUCCCUGAGAAUUUCAUUACUUGCAACCUGAAUGGAAAAAUCACUUGAAAGCAUCAUGUGUGAACGCUUUGGAUACAAAAGAGAUCAAUAGAGUUGGCCUGGAACAAGAGAUGCCCUUGAAUGCAAGUUGUAACAACUGAGAGAAAUUGCCCAGACACUGCAACGGGAGUUGCCAACAAAGUAACAGAGUCAGAGAAGAGCUGAGUCUUGGGAAUGAAAAAGUGAUGAGGGGAUGACUUCCACAGUGGGUAUCCGGUCAUUUGGGCUGCUGCUCUGCCCUCAUCAAAGUGAUUUCCACUCUAAGCCUUUGCUAAUUUCACAACAGGAAAGCAUGCAAGAAAUUCGAGAACAAAACAAAUCUACACGCAGAGCCCAGCAUCUUCAAGCAAACACCCUGAGGUACAGACCCGAGGCUAGAUGAGUCCGGACUGCAGAUGAGGCAGCUGCCUCUUAAACUGCAAGGGGACUGAAAAAGUCAUUUGCCUCUAAAAAAACCAACUCUGAAUACAAAUUGAUAAUGAAUAUUCAUGAGCCCCUCCAGCUUGCUCUAGAGCCACCCUUGACUGCAACCCUGGACUCUGCUUCCUAAAAAGUUUCCCAAAGCUCUUUCUCUGCCUCCUCUCAGAAGGAAGAGGGUGGGAAAGUUCAUUCAGGGCUUUUUGCCUCCAGCUUUCAAGUACUUGCUUUUUGGUCUGGGCUUUUAUUUUUCCUUCUAUUUUUUUUUUCUUAAGGAUUCAGAUCAAAUCAAUUUUGGUCUUACCCUUUGUAUCUUCCAUAAGUAGCAGCUUUUGUUUUCCUCCUCUUUCCUCGUCUUUCCCCCCCCCAGCCUCUGCUUGCUGUGGUCCGUCUCCGUGAGAGAGGUCCUCAAGGAAACAGAGAUAUAACAGACCCUUGGGCUCGUGGGAGGGGCUAAAUUAGCCGGCCCCGUUUCGGAAGGAACCUCAAACCCUGUCUUUUUCAUUGACUAGAAAGGACAGAUUGACUGAGGAGUCCAGCAGCUCAUUUUCCUAAAGUUACUCGAAGCCUUUUCCAGGUUGUAAUUUUUUGCAUCCUUGAAGCAAUGUAUAUUCAAAUCUCUCUCUCUUUCUCCCUUCUUCCCUCUCUCCCUUACUCCCUCCCUCUUCAUCUCUCUCUCCCUCUCUUCGUUAUAGAAAUCCCUUUUUCUCCCUUGAAAAAGUCAUCUCAGCUGCAAGCAAAAAAAGCUAUUCCUUACUGCAAUUAUGAAGCUAGAUAAUAAGAAAGUUGUUACCUUGAAACCCGCUCGAAAAACUGAAAGUCAAGAACAGUUCUUCCCUCCCCAUAAAGCCUCUGGUCCCAUGACCAGCAAUCCUUUCUCAAGGCUCAUUAGAGCAAAGAGCAACAGGUGACCCAAGCGAUGAGUUUCCUGCAGGAGACGCUGCGUUAUUGGUUGGAAGGCUGGGUGGAACCACAGAGGAGCUGCUCAAUGGGAACCGCUGCCUGGCUAUGAAUUGAUGAAAGUCAUCCACCAUUUCCCAACUUUGACUUCCUACCUUUGAAGUCUAAUGAGCAUGAAUUACCACAUCCAGACCGUCAAGAUUACCCCAAUGUAGAUGAGAGCCUGACCAAAUUAUUUUUAAACUGUGUAACAAAAUUAUUUUGAAAUCAAAACAAGGGCUAAUCCUUUGAAAGGAAGGUAAGUCCUCAAGUCCCAAGGCGACUUGGCAGCUUCUCCCUCCACAAGGCUGUUGCAAACCUUAGCAUUUCAGGUCUGAAAGAUACCUCAGACAUUGAGUCUAAAAGAGGUUAGAGAUGUGGAGAGGUUAAGCCACCUGCUCAUGCUCACAUACAUGGUCUCUCUUAUUUGCUACCAUGUUCCCCAGCACCUAAUACAGUUUCUCUCACAGCAUGGGCUCUCAAUAAAUAUUUGAUGAAUGGUUGAAAAAAAUGAAUGAAUUGCAGCAAAGCAGAAAUGUAGAUCUGUUUUCCUGUUUCCUAGUUCUUGAUUUUUCUACAUUGCUUGUCUGGCAUGUAAAUUUGUAUCUAAAGCCAGUUAUACCAUAUAAAUCAUUAAAUUUGUGAGCCCGAAGGACUGUUUUGACUCUAUGUAGAAACUAUAUUCUCCAGCGAGCUUUCAGUCAUACUUUAAUAAGGACAAAGGAUAACCUUUUAGUUUAGGCAUCUCUGUUACUUUGCACGGUGCCACAUGGUAUAUACUCAAUACAUUUUUUAUACUUUAAUAAAUUUGGAGCUGUUUAACAAUACUUUAUUUCUGAAAUGCUUUAUAGUUAUAGGAUUUUGCAUGUAUGAUAACAACUAAUUACACUGAAUGAAAGACUCAAUGGAUGUCUUCUCCCGAGUCAGUUUAGACUACAUCUCUAAUAAUGAAUAUUGGUCUGAUAUUCAUCCUGUUAUGAUAAAACUGGUUUUUGGUGAUAUGAUGGGAUUUUUUGUAAAAACCAACAAUUGGUUUAUGACUGCCUUUGUACUAUUGUUUUGGAGAGAAAUUUGAAAAGAGCAUGUCCACAAAAUAGUGUGCGAAUUACAGAAUGGAAACCAAAACAUCAAAGCUAGAAAGAGAAAAGAAUGAUCAAAGGGAAGAUCCAGAGUGGCUGAGGGGUAGGCAGGAGAAACAGACAAACAAGUACCUGAGCUUGUCAAUGAGAGACACACUUUGGUGGGUGCUGUGGCAACGGUUCUCUACUUUAUUACAUUAGGAUAUUAGGUUCUUUUUUUUUUUUUUUUUUUGAGACAAGAGUUUUACUCUUGUCUCCCAGGCUGGAGUGCAAUGGAGCCAUCUCAGCUUACUGCACCCUCUGCCUCCCGGGUUCAAGUGAUUCUCCUGCCUCUGCCUCCAAGUAGCUGGGAUUACAGGCGCCCGCCACCUUGCCCAGCUAAUUUGUGUAUUUUUAGUAGAGAUGGGGUUUCACCAUGUUGGUCAGGCUGGUCUCGAACUCCUGACCUCAGGUGAUCCGCCCGCCUCAGCCUCCCAAAGUGCUGGGAUUACAGGCGUGAGCCACCAUGCCUGGCCUAUUUUACUACGUUCUUACAUUCUUUUUUUUGAGACAGAGCCUCACUCUGUCAUCCAGGCUGGAGUGCAGUGGCGUGAUCUUGGCUCACUGCAACCUCUGCCUCCCAGGUUCAAGUGAUUCUUGUGCCUCAGCCUCCCGCGUAACUGGGAUUAUAGAUGCGCACCACUAAGCCUGGCUAAUUUUUGUAUUUUUAGUAGAGAUUGGGUUUCACCAUGUUGUCCAGGCUGGUCUCAAACUCCUGGCCUCAAGUGAUCCGCUUGCCUUGGCCUCCCAAAGUGCUAGGAUUACAGGUGUGAGCCACAGUGCCUAGCCACAGUUCUCUAUUUUAAACAAAAUUAAAAUUCAAGGUCACUUCAGUCAUGUUGUAUCAGACGUUGUCGACAAAAGGUUACUUUGACAAUUGUCUCAUUCUCUUUACAUUUCAUCAGGGAGAGAAAGAGUUAGUAAAAAGUAAAUUGUUCUAGUACCCAACUUCUGGUUUAACCAGGAGAGGUAAAAUCUCAUUAUAGUAACUAGCACUUCAUAAAUAUUUGAAGUUCAUCCAAACUGAAUAUGGAGUAAUAGAAACAUAGUUUUAACCCCUAAUUCAUAUUACAUGAGCCUUUUGACAACAUUUAAUGCUUUUUAUGGUAAUAUGCUCUGUGCUACAAUUUAAUCACGUUGUCCAGGUUCGCACCCUCCUCAGCAUCAUGAAAAUACUAUGGUUAAGUAUAUAUUAUCACCAAUUCAUACAAGAAUAAUUAUAAAAGAGAUGGGAGUUUGUGUGUAUCUUUCUAAAGGCCUCAGAAUUUAUCUUAAAAAAUAAAUCGUCUUUCUCAAC
rnacentral:lncRNA from 1 species